rnacentral:piRNA from 1 species
UGAAGCCCCCGGGAGGAGAAUCGAGCG